CCCAUUUCCAGGCGAAGAAAACGGUGAAAAAACGAGUUCUGAACCCCAAAAAAACCCCAACCAGCACCAAGAAAGUCCCGAGCACCAAAGUCCUGACAGG